AACACAAGAACAAGAGAUAGAAUCUAUUUUUUUGUAUUUCUUUUUUCCAAAUCUGUUCACUCCACACGCCAGAUCGGUAGGUGGCGGUAAUCACUUGUUUAUUGGUGUGCCAAACCGCCAUAAAACACCAGAAGAAGAACUCACCGUAACUCCAGAGUAUCAGUCAGAUCGCGGAUUCAUAUGCAGUUAUUCAUAUGUUAGCGUUUAUGUGGAAGUGAAAGUCCGUGACAAAAUAUUACCUCAAGUACACCACUAUGUGAAAAUGGUCACUCUUGUGCAAUACAUGACCAAAUCUGAUGACUCCCAACUCCCCGACCAAAGUACUGCAGCAGUCAAUAACAUAUCCACAAGAGUUAAAUGGGGCACUUUCUAUAUGAGAGUUCAACCUUUCUGUCUUGAGAGAUUCACACCUUUCAGAUUCCCAACUUUAUGAUAUUGUUCAGAAUUUGGUUGGAGAAAAUUAGGAGAUUGGGGCAAAUGCUGUUCGGUCCAGGCUUGCAGCUAUAAAUAUUCGAGUGCCGCGAAGGAGACUUGGACUGUAUGGUUAGAAACCCGAGGACACUGAGACUGACAGACCCAGUUCCUGCUGCCAUGAAGCUCAUCACACCAUGAUCUACUGGCCUCCCAUCAUCGUGAUGCCCUGCCAAUGUCUGACGAGCAACCACCCGCUGCUUCCCUUUAUUUCUAAAUUUUUUUAUUCUUAAUAAAUAGUAUAGUAUAGUU